rnacentral:rRNA from 1 species
GAUGAACGCUGGCGGCGUGCCUAAUACAUGCAAGUCGAGCGAACGGACGAGAAGCUUGCUUCUCUGAUGUUAGCGGCGGACGGGUGAGUAACACGUGGAUAACCUACCUAUAAGACUGGGAUAACUUCGGGAAACCGGAGCUAAUACCGGAUAAUAUUUUGAACCGCAUGGUUCAAAAGUGAAAGACGGUCUUGCUGUCACUUAUAGAUGGAUCCGCGCUGCAUUAGCUAGUUGGUAAGGUAACGGCUUACCAAGGCAACGAUGCAUAGCCGACCUGAGAGGGUGAUCGGCCACACUGGAACUGAGACACGGUCCAGACUCCUACGGGAGGCAGCAGUAGGGAAUCUUCCGCAAUGGGCGAAAGCCUGACGGAGCAACGCCGCGUGAGUGAUGAAAGUCUUCGGAUCGUAAAACUCUGUUAUUGGGGAAGAACAUAUGUGUAAGUAACUGUGCACAUCUUGACGGUACCUAAUCAGAAAGCCACGGCUAACUACGUGCCAGCAGCCGCGGUAAUACGUAGGUGGCAAGCGUUAUCCGGAAUUAUUGGGCGUAAGCGCGCGUAGGCGGUUUUUUAGUCUGAUGUGAAAGCCNCACGGCUCUUUGNUGGAGGGUCAUUGGAAACUGGAAAACUUGAGUGCAGAAGAGGAAAGUGGAAUUCCAUGUGUAGCGGUGAAAUGCGCAGAGAUAUGGAGGAACACCAGUGGCGAAGGCGACUUUCUGGUCUGUAACUGACGCUGAUGUGCGAAAGCGUGGGGAUCAAACAGGAUUAGAUACCCUGGUAGUCCACGCCGUAAACGAUGAGUGCUAAGUGUUAGGGGGUUUCCGCCCCUUAGUGCUGCAGCUAACGCAUUAAGCACUCCGCCUGGGGAGUACGACCGCAAGGUUGAAACUCAAAGGAAUUGACGGGGACCCGCACAAGCGGUGGAGCAUGUGGUUUAAUUCGAAGCAACGCGAAGAACCUUACCAAAUCUUGACAUCCUUUGACAACUCUUGAGAUAGAGCCUUCUCCUUCGGGGGACAAAGUGACAGGUGGUGCAUGGUUGUCGUCAGCUCGUGUCGUGAGAUGUUGGGUUAAGUCCCGCAACGAGCGCAACCCUUAAGCUUAGUUGCCAUCAUUAAGUUGGGCACUCUAAGUUGACUGCCGGUGACAAACCGGAGGAAGGUGGGGAUGACGUCAAAUCAUCAUGCCCCUUAUGGUUUGGGCUACACACGUGCUACAAUGGACAAUACAAAGGGCAGCGAAACCGCGAGGUCAAGCAAAUCCCAUAAAGUUGUUCUCAGUUCGGAUUGUAGUCUGCAACUCGACUACAUGAAGCUGGAAUCGCUAGUAAUCGUAGAUCAGCAUGCUACGGUGAAUACGUUCCCGGGUCU